UACGAAGGGUGCAAGCGUUAAUCGGAAUUACUGGGCGUAAAGCGUGCGUAGACGGCUUAUUAAGUCGGAUGUGAAAGCCCCGGGCUCAACCUGGGAAUGGCAUCCGAUACUGGUUGGCUAGAGUGCGGUAGAGGAGAGCGGAAUUCCCGGUGUAGCGGUGAAAUGCGUAGAGAUCGGGAGGAACAUCCGUGGCGAAGGCGGCUCUCUGGACCAGCACUGACGUUGAGGCACGAAAGCGUGGGGAGCAAACAGA
rnacentral:rRNA from 1 species